GUAAAGCACAAGUGUACCGUAUCCACACACCCGCUUGGGAGAAAUUAUGAUGACCUCGAGGGGACCCUGAAAGGUCCUACUGAGUCAGCACCUCACAAGUCUUUCAGUGACACAUUCGGGACUCUGAUUCGGAUGAGCUGCUGUAGACUUGAGUGUCAUCUCAUCUCCCAGCGUCAUCAUUCUUGGCCUCAGGAGCGUGCUUCCCACUUCUGCCUGAUUCCCUCCUCUGGGAAGCUGAUACACCCACAGAGGACGUCUUUAAUGACUGCUCAGUGGAUUCUUGCUUAUCUGCUCUGAGGGAAAACGGAAGAACAGGCUACAAUCUCAAAUGGUGCUGACAGUUGAAUACAGGGCCUCACACAUACAGGCAAGUGCUCUACCUCUUAGCUGCACUCUCAGCCCAGUUAACCAUUUCUUAAGGUUUUUUGUUUUGUUUUAAACACAAAGGUGCUAAUGAUAUACUAAGGAAAUUUAAAGCAAGACUUUCACCAG